ACGGUAGCAUAUGAAUAAGGAUCGGCUAAUUCCGUGCCAGCAGCCGCGGUCAUACGGAAGAUCCAAGCGUUAUCCGGAAUUACUGGGCGUAAAGAGUUGCGUAGGUGGCAUAGUAAGUCUGUAGUGAAAGCGUGGGGCUCAACCCCAUAACCAUUAUGGAAACUGCUAAGCUAGAGGGCGAGAGAGGUUACUAGAAUUCCUAGUGUAGGAGUGAAAUCCGUAGAUAUUAGGAGGAAUACCGAUGGCGUAGGCAGGUAACUGGCUCGUCCCUGACACUAAGGCACGAAAGCGUGGGGAGCGACCGGGAUUAGAUACCCCGUUAGUCCACGCCGUAAACGAUGGAUGCUAGCUGUAGGACGUAUCGACCCGUUCUGUAGCGAAGCUAACGCGUUAAGCAUCCCGCCUGUGGAGUACGAGCGCAAGCUUAAAACAUAAAGGAAUUGACGGGGACCCGCACAAGCGGUGGAGCGUGUUCUUUAAUUCGAGGAUAAGCGAAGAACCUUACCCAGGCUUGACAUCCUUGGAAGGCUUCCGAAAGGAAACUGUGCCUUCGGGA
rnacentral:rRNA from 1 species